ACUCCUACGGGAGGCAGCAGUGGGGAAUAUUGCACAAUGGGCGCAAGCCUGAUGCAGCCAUGCCGCGUGUGUGAAGAAGGCCUUCGGGUUGUAAAGCACUUUCAGUCGUGAGGAAGGUAGUGUAGUUAAUAGCUGCAUUAUUUGUACGUUAGCGACAGAAGAAGCACCGGCUAACUCCGUGCCAGCAGCCGCGGUAAUACGGAGGGGUGCGAGCGUUAAUCGGAAUUACUGGGCGUAAAGCGCAUGCAGGUGGUUUGUUAAGUCAGAUGUGAAAGCCCGGGGCUCAACCUCGGAAUUGCAUUUGAAACUGCUUGGCUAGAGUCCUUGAGAGGGGGUAGAAUUUCAGGUGUAGCGGUGAAAUGCGUAGAGAUCUGAAGGAAUACCAAGUGGCGAAGGCGGCCCCCUGGCCAAGAGACUGACGCUCAGAUGCGAAAGCGUGGGGAGCAAACAGGAUUAGAUACCCUGGUAGGAUAG
rnacentral:rRNA from 1 species